ACCCUUUUUCCUGUACCUUAAACCAAGCUCCUCUGUGCUACAAGGUGAUAGAUAAUCCAUGAGAGAAGAUCGUGGAAACUUCAGGAAACAGAGAGGCCCCUGCAAUCAAGCACAUCCCUGGCACCUCUUCAGUGGAAGCUCCUCUGACACCCAUCAAGUUGGUCGUCAUUAAUGCCUUAUUCCCAUCUUCAUUGGCUCCCUGGCUGCACCCUUUGGCUUUAAACUCUCCUAAAGAUGGCUGUCCUGUUAUGAAGGCUGCUUGCUAACUGUUUAAAGUCUGCUCGGAUCUUCUAUUAUGGGCAUUCUGUCCUGUCAACUCAUCUGAUGUCAACCAGCAUGAACCACGUUACUAGCUUGCAUUGCCUCUUGGUCACAUAAGCCCCUCGAACUUUUAUCUGUAUAUUGUCCUAGAGAACAUGAGGCACGAAUCCUCUCUUUUCUUUAUCUCCGUGCACAGUUUCCCGAUAGAGAGAAGCAGAGAGCUCAGUGGGUACAGCUGAAUUGUUGAUUUGGAUGAAACUUGAACUUUAAAGGUUGGGGACAAGCAAGGGUAAAUACCCAUCCUGUGAUGCUCUACGGAAUGGGGG
rnacentral:lncRNA from 1 species